rnacentral:rRNA from 1 species
GUCGAGCGAACAGACGAGGAGCUUGCUCCUCUGACGUUAGCGGCGGACGGGUGAGUAACACGUGGAUAACCUACCUAUAAGACUGGGAUAACUUCGGGAAACCGGAGCUAAUACCGGAUAAUAUAUUGAACCGCAUGGUUCAAUAGUGAAAGACGGUUUUGCUGUCACUUAUAGAUGGAUCCGCGCCGCAUUAGCUAGUUGGUAAGGUAACGGCUUACCAAGGCGACGAUGCGUAGCCGACCUGAGAGGGUGAUCGGCCACACUGGAACUGAGACACGGUCCAGACUCCUACGGGAGGCAGCAGUAGGGAAUCUUCCGCAAUGGGCGAAAGCCUGACGGAGCAACGCCGCGUGAGUGAUGAAGGUCUUCGGAUCGUAAAACUCUGUUAUUAGGGAAGAACAAAUGUGUAAGUAACUAUGCACGUCUUGACGGUACCUAAUCAGAAAGCCACGGCUAACUACGUGCCAGCAGCCGCGGUAAUACGUAGGUGGCAAGCGUUAUCCGGAAUUAUUGGGCGUAAAGCGCGCGUAGGCGGUUUUUUAAGUCUGAUGUGAAAGCCCACGGCUCAACCGUGGAGGGUCAUUGGAAACUGGAAAACUUGAGUGCAGAAGAGGAAAGUGGAAUUCCAUGUGUAGCGGUGAAAUGCGCAGAGAUAUGGAGGAA